GCAUCUUCAUUUAAACAAUACCAUAUGGUUUCCCGAUAUAUCCCUAUUCCCUAUUUCCUUAUUAACCUAAUAUUAAAAUAGUUAACAGUAUAACUAAUAGUCAUGAGUGAGAGUUUAAAAGAACACUAAGGAAGCUUGUUAAGCCAUAGUUACAGUAGUAGAAGAAAAUUGAAAUCAAAUACUUUAUACACGCACAUAUAUUUGUACUGUCAGCGGUAAUCUCCUUAAAAUGACGUUAACCAAUUUUCCGUUAGCAAGUUUGUAUGGCAAGCCAUUAGUGCCAAAAUUCGCCACUUUUCUAACCCGUUUGGUUAAGAAAUGGCAUAAAAAACGCCGUUUAAUUAUUCAAAACGCCGAAAAAAACGGCGUUCUGUUUCGACAAACGCCGUUUUUUCUGACUCGCACAUGGCGCCCUGAACGCACCAUCCGAGUGAUGUAAAAAGCGGCGUUCAAAGACAGACGGAAACGCCGUUUUUUCCGCCACUCAGCAGAAAACGCCGUUCAAAGAUGCAUAAAAACGGCAUUUUUUUACGGCGUUCUGUGCCAGCUGUAACGGCGUUUAAAACGGCGUUUUAUUGAAAUUAUGCAGGGCACUCCCCAUGGUUCCCUCAUCCAAUUACUUUCAACUCAUGUCACCCAAUCAAAGAAGAGGAAGUGCAGACCACACUAAUGCAUCACCGAUUCACCUUGCUGCUAAGUGAUUGCCUAUUCAGUACCAGUGCUUGUCACAGUAUUGACUUGUAUUAUAAUCCCACUAUGCAUUUUGAUGUGUUUAAAGCAUGAUCAAGCAAACAAACGACAGAAUACUUUUUCUGAAACCUUAACUGUGUUACCUGUUAUGGCAGCUAACAGGUAAUGAGCAGAGCUAGCUCUGCUCAUUUCUGAGCUUCUUUCUUAUUUUCCUCUUUACUUCUCUUAACCUUUAACUUAUGUCUUAGCAAUCAGAUUCUGCCGUCAUGCAUUACCGCUCCGUGCUAGUUAUGUUGACUUUUCUCUUCUUUUGUCUUCUCUUUUUUCACCCGUAUUUAGACACUGUGCAUGGCUCCUUUGUUUACGUUAGGGAUCAGCUGUUAGCGCUGCGCUACCGGCAGACAGACCCUACGUCCCUAGUGAGGGAAGAGGCGGGGGUGAUGUCUCCCGAGAAGGACACCUUACACACCAUCUCUCCUUCCUGUAGUCACUGUAAAUGUGAGAUCGCUCCCUGAUAUGAUUGAGGAGCUAAUGACGCUAACCCGGUCACAAUGGCAGUACCCCGACACUGCCCGGUACUCCCUCUGUGAGUAGGCUGCCCGGCUUCCAGCUGCUGCGGCCGGACAAGACGAGAGACAGCGGUGAGAGGAAAGGAGGGGGGCUGGCAGUGUUUGUUAAAGACAGUUGUGGUAUCCCUGGGCACAUUGCUGUGAAAGAACAACUCUGCAACAGAGACAUUGAGCUAUUAGCCGUUAGCAUCCAUGGAGGCAGCCUGUGACUCUCUGUGGUCCCCAGACUGCAGACGCAAUCUCCGAGAGCUCUUCUUCUAAUAUCAGGGGACUUUAAUCAUGUCUCGCUGGACUCCACACUGCCCACCUUCACCCAGUAUGUGACCUGCCCCACCGUAGGCAAUAAAACAUUGUACUUAAUGUAUGCCAAUGAAAAAGUGGCAUACAGUUCAUUACCUCCCCCUGCCCAGGGAAGAUCUGAUCGUAAUCUAGUGCGCUUUUUCCCUGUGUGCAGCACUUAGUGUGCACGGAGCCACCAAUCACCCACGCAGUGCAGAGAUGGUUCGCGGAGGGCAUAAUCAAGCAAAUAAAUGACAGAAUGCUUUUUAUUUCAUGUCGACGUGCAAUUUAUGUAUAGUUGACCGUGAAAUUAAAGCAGCGAUCACUUGGACUAUUCCGUAGCACCCCUCUCACAGUGGUACAUCCCUCCAGGUAACCAUUCACAAGUUUUGUACAGUAGAGCGGGACAUUACGUUUACUCUCAGCGGAAUUCACCGGAGAAGGCAUAUACGUUCCUGCACUGCACUGGCCUUCACCACGAUUAGUAUAAGGUGGAGUAAUGCACGAAUGGAUAAAAAAGAGUGAGAGGUUAUCAGCUGUUGAGGAGCAAAUGGAGAUCCGUGUCCAGGGGAGUGAGGCUAUUGCGAGUGUGAAAGGUUGUCCAGGAAGUAACUAAGAAGACAUGAACAGAGAGGUGGUGAUCCUCAGAGGAGCGAUGAAGUAGAGCAGCCAGCACCCCGAGUAGAGCAGGCACUGUGGAAAAAUAGUUGUGACUCAACCAGACCAUUACAAAGUAUGGCCUGGAGGAUUUUCAUCUCAAGGUGCAAGAACAUUCUUAAUGACUGUACACGGCGGCUGCUGAUGGACGAUGUUGGGCCAGAUGUGCUACAGUUAGCGUUAAGGAGGUUGGAGACAAUGCAGAGAAGCCUUCGGUGGGCAAGAGGAAGACUGAUCAAUGUAACUGCGGCAGAUCAACUUCUGCAUGACUUGGCUGAAUUGAUUCAGGAGGUCGAACUGCCUACUCAGCAUGGCCAACAAGGCUGUUUUGGAUACCAGGCACCAGUGGUUUUCAACAGAGGUAGAGGUAGAUCCCUUUACCGUAUCACUCGGGAACAGCUUUCAUUCCUGAAGUCAUGUGGAUUCACUGCACCUCAGAUGGCUGAUAUUUUGAAUGUUUCACUUCGUACAA